CUAGACAAGAAACUUCAUUUUAGAGGUGACUUGGGAAAGUCACAGGGUUGGUGGCUGGUGGAGGCAGCAGGGCCAGGACUCUGCCCUUAGUUAGAUACAUGUAUUUUCAUCGCACAAGUCUCAGUGUUCCAGUGGGGUGUGACGGUGCCAUCAUCAGUCUGCAGAUUGAGGGAGGUGAGGAGGAAAAAGAGAGGUUGGGAGGUGUGGGGCACACAGGUCAGCAGGUGCGUAAGAGCUGCUGGAGUGGAAUAGAAGAUGCAGCCAGGGGUAACUCAUGAAGGGCUAGACUGGUUUCCCAAUGCUCUGCACAGGAAUCCUUGAGUAAAUCCCAAGGAUCCCCUCCCUGGGCCAUUGCCCCACUGCCUCCAUCUCUUUGGCUAAUUUUAGACUUAGGGACUAGAGUGGUGGGAUUAGAGUGGUUGGUGGGCUCAACGUGUAGGGACAAUGUGUUGUAAUAACUUCACUCAGAAGAAAGCUAAUGCCUCACACUGGUUCUGUUGAACACUUAUGGAGGGAAAAAAACUUGCUGUGUUUGUGGACAACUAUGUCACAAACAGUUAGUAGCCCUAAACUUAGUGUGGACAUUAUAUUUCUUGAGCUGAGGCUCCACUACUUGAUUAUGGCUAAAACACUUUUAACUCUUUUCUUCCCCACCCCGAGACAGAGUCUUGCUCUGUCACCCUAGCUGGAGUGCAGUGGCACGAUCUUGGCUCACUGCAACCUCCGCCUCCCGAGUUCAAGCACUUCUCCUGCCUCAGCCUCCCAUGUAGCUGGGAUUACAGGCGCCCGCCACCACACCUGGCUAACUUUUUAUAUUUUUAGUAGAGACGGGGUUUCACCAUCUUGGCCAGGCUGGUCUUGAACUCCUGAUCUCAUGAUCCACCCACCUUGGCCUCCCAAAGUGCUGGGAUUACAGGCAUAAGCCACCGUGCCCAGUCAAGACACUUUAACUCUUUGAGUCUCAGUCUCCUCAUCACCAAAUAAGGAUGUUAACUAGUUCCAGGGUUUCUGUGAGAAUCAAAUGAGAUACUGGAUAUGAAAGCCCUUUGUCAACUGUAUUUGGGUUUGUUUUGUUGUUUUCUGAGACACGGUCUCACUCUGUCCCCCAGGCUGGAGUGCAGUGGCGCCAUCACGGCUCACUGCAGCCUCAAACUCCCAGACUCAAGGGAUCCUCCCACCUCAGCCUCCCAAGUAGCUGGGACUACAGGUGUACACCACCAUGCCUAGCUAAUUUUUUGUAGAGAUGGGCUUUUGCCAUGUUGCCCAGGUUGGUCUUACACUCCUGGGUUCAAAGUGAUCUGCCCGCUUUGACCUCCCCAAGGUGCUGGGAUUAGAGGCAUGAGCCACAGCACCCAGCACCUUUGUCAACUGUAAAAAUAUUUACAUGAAAGGCUUUACUGAUACUAAACAUGAACCAGACUUCCAGACAAAGUUAUUAUUAGUCUGUUCUUAAACAUGACCUACCUGCCUCUUUCAUAGAGACCAGAUGUCAGGGAGGGGACCUGAGGAUCAAGUAGCAGGCUGCAGACAGACUAGGAGUAACAAGGCAGAAGCCACACCAAGAGCAAAGCCUCAGUUCCCAACCCUGGUGAAACUGCUCCCCUCCAAGACCAGACCAUCCUGACCCUUGCUCUAUCAGCUACCAGUCCUUUCUUGAGCUGGAGGCUGCAUUAUCAAUGCACUGCCACUGAGCUCCUCAGUGUUCUGGGAGACCCUAAUUCCACAGUAUGUGGCAGGGAGGAAGCAGGGAAUGAGGCAAGGGCAGGCAAGGGGAAGGCAGCCUGGCUACUAUUCCUAGUCUCUGUCUGACUUGCAUCUGUCCUUGUUGAGCUAGGGAGGAGGCUUGCUCUUCAGGAGAGAAGCCAAACUACUGAGCAAGACAAGGAGAGAUCUUAAGAUGCUAUGCACUCAGAACUUCGGCAGCCAGGACGGGACUGAAACUCUGACAGACACAAUGGGCCAAUGGGGCAGGACAUAGCUCUCAUGGCUGCCCUCAUAGCCAUGGAAAGCAGGGCAGCAGUACCAGGACCGCCCACUCCCAGGGAGCUGUGAACCAAGUCCUUGUCUUAGUUUCUUUGGGUUCCCAGUAGAGGAUGGGACUCCAGCACCUUUCUGCCUGUCUGGGUUGCUGAGUGGCACCACCUGCAUGUUCAAGUACCAGAGAAAGCAAGAAAGCUAAUUCAGCAGCAGCUCCCGGGGAGAGCCCACUUGGCACAGUCUGUAGAGUCCAGGAAGGAAAACAGGCCACCCUUCCCCCACAAGCAUCAAUGCCUAUGCUAUGUCUUUUGCUUCCUGUGAGACUGUCAGUUAGGGCCCAGUUCAGUGUAGGGCUGAGGCAGCCUGAAUGUGGUUAUUUGUGCAAGCUCCUCUUGCCUCCCCUCCCCACAACUGUUUCCAUUCUCACCAAGCAGCCACGUCCGGGUCAGACACCCAGGACAGCAGCUGGGGCUUUCCAAGGGACUUUUUGAGAAGCUAGUGAAAGUUGGGUGUUGGCUGCACAGCCUGGGCACUUGCUGAAACGCACUUCUUCCAUCCAGGACGUAAGCUCUAGCCUGGCAGGGUUGCUUUCAGGUUGAAAUUGAACAGAAAUCACCACCCACGGAGCUUUCUGUUUGCUGGGCUGGGGAAAUCCUUGAGAAACUCAGUUUGGAGUUGGGGUUAUCUGACCAUUCCCUCAGAGCUUGAAGGCACCAGAGAAAAUGGUUUUGGUUUGAAGACCAUAGUGGACAUGAGCAGCCCGGCCAGUCCCAGUUUCCCUCCCAUAGGCCUAUGUGAGGACAAGGAAGGGGAGUAGACAAACUAAUCAGAGUCAGGUCGCAUCUCUCCUCCUUCCCACACUCUCCAGGCCACAGGUAACAAGCAAAAUCAACUCAAGAGCAACACCAGGUGGCUGAGACACAAAGCCCUAGCACAGGCAGCUCUGCCCUAGCACAGCACAGCUCACCCUGCAGUUGUGGUUCUCAGCAUUUCCCCUACUAUUUUGGCUGAUUGUGCACAUAUUCUAUGUAUUGAAAAAUGGCCCAAAAAGGAGAGCAAAAGUAUUUCACCUUUAUAAUACUUAUAUAAUUUUCACAUAGCUUCGUUUCUACAAUCACAACAAUCCUGAGGUAAACAGGCAGGGUGCAAUCAUUCUCUUUUUAGAGGGAGAACAAGGAACUUAGGGAAAUCAAAAUGGGGAUACGAACAGGAUUUCUGUGGAAAUUUAAAUGAGAAUUUGUGGUAAAUUUUUUUAUCCUAAAACAACUCACCUUGGCCGAAAAAUGGGAUGUUACCCAAGGUCCCCUACUAGGCCGGAGGAGAAAAGGACCUACCUCCUACAGGGGCACAAACAAGGGAGACUAGGACUCAAUGGUCGCCCAAGGCCCAAGGGUCUCCAGUGAGUGCUUGAGACUGGCCUAAGGUAUAGGAAGAGCCGUGAAGAGAAGAAAAUAGACAAGCAGGGGAGGGAAGAAUUAUUAAACAUGGUCAAGGAGCACUCUACAAAGCCUCAGGAUUUCUUCAAGGGAUACUGCUGUGCCAGGUCUCGAGGGCAGAAGGAUACAAGUGUGAGACACCAGGGCCACCAAGUUGAUGGGGUUACUGAGCCUCUGGAUCAGCACCCUCCGAUAGGAAGCAAGGAAGCACACUACAAAGGCUGCAAUCCCAGAGGCUGAGACAGUCAAGAGGGAGUAGAAGGGCCUCUGCUGCUCUGGGAAGGUUCUUAUAGGGCAAAUAAGCUAUUACUGUGCCUAAGAGAAUGGAAGAGGGAGGCAAGGCAGGUGUCAUGGCCUUCAGAACUUUCUCGAGGUUCAUAUUUAUUGACAUUUGACCUAGAGUCCUUGGCAUGGGGAAGGCACAGACCUGGGCCACGGGUAGGAAAAUCAGCAUCCUACUCUCUCCUCAAUUCCAUCUGUUAAUCCACCAACCCAAAUCCCUCCCACCCCACCUGUAGUCCAAAGAAGAUAAAAUGAUAAAAUGAUGUGCUGCUCUCUCAACAGUCAGCUGAGUCUGAAUUGGAGGGUAGGAAGUAUUUGAAGUUCUGUUCAUUUAGUUCCAGAACAAGAAAUAAGCAGAGGCAGGAGGUGGAGAGCAAAGAUGCUGGCAGCCUUGCAUCUUGCUAGGUCUUUAUAGCUGUGUCUCUGGAUUUGUAGGCCACUCCUCGACUUUUCAGCUCCCGCACGAUUCCUGAAGCAGGAAAAGAAACAGUUCUGUGAGUCUACUCAGGGUCAGGCAUCCUUUCCGACUACUCACUCAGCAGCGGAUCCCCACCCGCCUCUGACUCCCAGUGUCUUUCGGCUCCAACGUAAGUUCACCGAACGUCUAAGAGCUGAGGAUUCAAAGGCAUGUAAGACCGCCCCUGCCCUCAGCUGCAAGACCUGUCCGCGAUCCUACGAGCCCCAUUCCGCCCUCUUUCCCCGACCUUGGUCCCCCAUGGGCCCUACAACCAGGUCCCCGACUGACACCUUGACCAGCGAACACAGCAAACAGGCCCGCAGAUGCCGCAGGUCCUUCGGCACCGUCUCCAGGGCCAUCUUCGCCGAUGGGAAGAACAACAGGGAGAUAGACGACCACAGCCUGUGCACCCGCAGGAAGUAAAUAGCUCGUUACCCAGAAUGCCCACCACUUCCGGCGCUUAGACUUCCUCUUCCGGUGUGGGCGGACGCCAGCUCCGCCCCUACCCCCGCCAGAGGAGAUGGUUUCUCCCGCCAGCAGGCGGGGAGGCUGGGCGGCCGGCCGCCACCUGGGCCGGAGCGCGUCGCAGCCACCUGAGCCCGCCGAGGGCGCGGCGGAGGCUGUGUGGGGUAGUCAGCGGGCCCCCGGGGCGGGGGGGCGGCUGCGCUUGCGCGGGAGUGUGUCGGGCUGAGCCGCAGCGCCGAGACGCGGGCUGUUUGAUCUGGGCUGGUGGCCCUGGGCGUCGGUCCUGUUCCCCGAUGGUAACCCGAAGUUUGUUUUUUUUUGUUUUGUCUCCCCGUUUUAGAAGCAUUGGGGGCAGUGAAUCCACUGUCUCCCUCUGGAUUGUCUCUGCAGAGACCGAGAAGAAAUCCAGGGACAGCCCCACCCCUCCUUCCUAACUGCGAGAGCGCUAUAGGGUUUCCACUUGCUUCCCACAGGAAUGCUGGCCUGGGAGCUACGGCGGAAAAAAAUGCGUAUUUAUCUUUUAAAACUCCGUCUGUUUGCUCGUUCCGGCUGAUAAUUUAUACUUUGCGCAGUUCUUAGCGCUUAGACACGGUUCCUUUACUAAAGACCAUUUGUAGGAGAUUAGGUGUCCUUUUUUUCCCUUUCAUUUCACCGUCUAGGAAGCGAAAUGCCUUGUUCUAUAGGCACUAAACCACCACCCCUACCAAACCUUUCUCGGGGAAGCAGAAGGGGAACUUGUGCCUUGUGAGGAAGCGACAAAGGCCCCUUCUGGCCCUGGAGACUUCACGCCAAUGGAGCACCAGCUCUCUGUCCUCGCAAUAGCCCGAGUGCAGGCAGAACGCAGUCAUUUGUGUUUAUCUGAGAGGAGCUUUGGGAUAUAAAUAGUUUCAGGCCCCGCUGCGCUGUCAUUCCAGCCCAGCCUCCUGAUUGAGCUGCUUCCGGGCGGGCUUUCUUCUUGUUGGCGGUCCCAUGCUGUGUUCAGAUGGGCUCUGUGACAGGUUUGGAUGUUUUCUAUCACUGAAUAAAACUUUCCACUUUGGAACAUAUUUUCUACACUCUAUUAUCUCAUGUAAGUCCUGCAACAACUAUUAAGUAGGCCCAUUUUAUGGACUGAAAAAGCGAGGCACAGAGUAUUUGCCCAAGGUCUGAGUCACUGAAGUAUGAUAAUGUGUGAAGUGAACAGUAUAAUAAUAAUGACUGAAGCACAGUAAGAAUCCAGUCAUGCUUUCUCCUUCCCUGAUCUCACUAAGCCACACUUUUAGGGGCUUACAAACCAGUUCUUAUUGCCAAGCCCUCUACUCUACCCUAUCCUUUCAUGAAUCGGAGCCUAGCCUCUGAUAACAUAAAUAAUUUACUUCUCUUGAUGUAGAAAGAGAUGACGUUGUUACCCUGAGUGACAGUCACGACAGAACAAAACCACAAGACCAGACCACAUUUGUGGAUAAAUAUAUUAGCAAAUAAAUAUAUUUCUUAACAUAGUGCCUGAUUCAAGCGUCUGUCUGGUUCAGAUAUAAAUACCCAUGUGGGUACCUAGGUGCUAGUCUCCCCACUAACUGAGGGAAAAAGGUUCCCAGGUGGGGUCCUCUGCCCACUUUGCCACCACAUUCACAUUCCAAAUGGGAUAAUGCCUGAGGGGCCAAGAGUGGUCAGGCUGCCCUGGGGUGAAUGUCACCCUGAUGAGGCCCAUCAGCUCUUGUCCACUCAGUGAGGCCAGACUUGUGCUCUAAUCCACUCUCCUGUGGGUCCCUGGCCUGUAUGGCUUAUACUGGGGAGCUGGGCCUCUGGGCUGUCCAAACCCAAGGGUCACACUUUGCUUUUCCUUUGUUGUCCCCAUUUUCCAUCCUUGCUCUAAGACAAAACUUUUCCCAGAGAAGAACUCUUUGUUGUCCCCGCUCAGCUGUAAUUCUGCCUUUUCUACCUUCAUUCCAUCCUUCCUCUGCCCAGAUAAAGUCCAGCAGAAAUUCCUCCUUUCUACCUCUCUGGGACUCUGAGACAGGAAAUCUUCAAGGAGGAGUUUUUCCCUCCCCACUAUUCUUAUUCUCAACCCCCAGAGGAACCAAGGCUGCUGUACCCACCUCAGGGACAGAACUCCACACUAUAGUGGGAAAGCUUCAGGGACCCCUCCUUUUAGUGCUCAGGGCUCACCUAUGCUACUGGUCCUUUUGGCAAAAAAGGAAAAUGAUAGAGCCAGGGUUGCCCCUGAUGUAGCAGCCUUACUGUGGAGGGGCCAAAGCUGGUGUUCAGAGCUCACCCAAGGAGGGAGGUGAUAAGGUGUCAUGCGUUCUGCUGAACCCACUGGCUGGUAUGAACAUGAGGCUUGGGGUGAGGGAAACCAAGUAGGGGUUGGAGAAGGAGCAGCACCUUUGUAACACCUGGCUACCCAUAGCUAGCUUUCUGCCCUCAAAAACUCAGCCUUCAAGGGAUCCAGCCCACACACGCCACAGGCAGCAGCUGGUUGCCUGGCUGGACAUGGAUUUGCUGCACUGCAGAUGUUUUCUGCAGACAAGGUCUGGAGCUGGAGCAGGAAACGGCACCCUCUCACCCUCCACCAUCACCAGUCCUCUUCCAGUGCUUCUAGGAAGUACGGCAAAAAGAAUGGUGUUUGCUGUGGUCCUUUCCUUUCCCAGGAGCAGGACUCUGUGCCAGGUAGGGCCCAAACACAUCUGGAGCACACUCUUGGUUGGAGCUAGGCCUGAACAUCUCACACAGCCUGUUCACACAGCUCCUCGAGUUCCUCCUCUGAGCCUGUAUUUAGAGAGCGGGGAGGAAAGAGGUCAUUGAGGGUCAGGCCAGGGACCUGCUUCUCUCGCCUGCAGCAGAGUGUGGCUGAGAGGGGACCACAGGGAGGGAGAAGCAGAGACUGUCUGGAAAGGGUGGUUAGAUUGAAAGCUAAGGGGGCCCCAGUUGGGACACAGGGGAGAGAAAAACAAAUCUAAAGAAAUAUAUAUAGCAACCAGUGUGUUACCAAUACUUACUAUUCAUUUAUUCACCCAAUAAAUAUUAAGGAUUCGUUGUGAAUUUGGUCUGCUACCACGUGCCAAAUAGAAGACCAAAAAGAAUAAGCAGGGACCUGGUAACCUUUUUGGAGAGAAAGUAUGAAAACAAAUGGCCAUUACGCCAGUGGGACAGGACAGGAGUCACGAGAGAUGCAUUAAGGAAGGAGAGAGACCAGGUCCAAGUGCAGCAAUCAGGAAAAGCUUCCUGGAAGUGGGGAUAAAUGAGCUGAUUCUGUAGGAAUAGGUAAGAAUUAGAUUUAUGGGAAUAGAGAAGGCAGGAGAAUAUUCUGGGCUACAGGAACUACAAGAAUUGUUUACCCAGUUUGGCUAAAGCAUGGGCCUGGGGAAGGGAGGGAAGAGAAUAGAAAAUAAGGUUGAGAAGGAAGAUGGGGGCUGGCUGGUGCAGGAACCUUUGAGGCCAAAGCAGGUUGGAUUUUUCCUCUCUGUGGACAAACAGAACAUUUGAAGAUUUCUGGACAGUUUAGUGUAAGGCAGAUGACGCUGGCAGCAAUAGGGAGGGUAGGUGAGCAGUGGAGCUGUGGUGCACAACUUUAUGGGACAUACUGGAUGGGCAGCACUCAGCCUUCGAGGCCCUGUAAGAGGGAAGGGAAGAGCUAGGAGGCUCCUGCAUGGAUCUUUAGGGUAUACCUAAGACACUGGCAGGGCCAUCAGUACUGGACUUGAAAAGAACAUGAUAAAGCUAGCCAAGAUACAGUUAACAGAAUCUGGCACUGAUUAGAUGUGAAAGGCAAGAAAAAGAGAGGCACUGAAACUAGUUCUGAGUUUGAGAGAAAAGGGAGAUAGUGGUGUGGUACUGGCAGCACUCAAAGUACACACACAAUAGGGUCCGAAUGGAAUCACAAACACAUAGCCAAAGCUUGCAGUACAUGGCUCUCUCCCCAUGGACCUGGAUGUCCUGAUUGGCAAGUUCCAUGUCUUCAGAGCCUAGCCUGGAACCUAGCACAAAGCAGGCAUAUAGUCAGAAGGAAAAAAAGGAAGGAAGGAGAAAGGAAAUGAAUAAAUGAAUGAAUUGGAUGAGGGCAGCUCCUAGGUCCUGCAGGAAGAAUUCCUACACUGAAGAAUAUUUCAGGACCUUUGUGUCACCUCCUGGGUUGGAAGGGUUCUAGUGAUGGCUGUAGACAAAGAACUGUGUCAUCCAUACAAUGGGGGAAGAUGGGGAAGAGUAGAAGGUGGAAGGUCCUGAAUGGAAAAGAGAGAUAUGUGGGCAAGUAAACACCAUGUUAAAGUUGAGAAUUUACGUGAUCACUGCUUAUGAUAUAGGGAUGCACUGAAUCCCCAAGAAAUUAAGGUCAGUCUUAUUAAUAAUGAUGUGUUGAAGGGAAGUCCUCCUUGUUCUUUUACCACAGGGGAAGAGAAGAAAACCUAAGGCUCCACAGGGCUGCUGGGAACCACCUGUGGUUUCUCUCUCUCUCUUUUUUCUCGUUGUUCACAUAGCUCU
rnacentral:lncRNA from 1 species